CGGGGUGAGUAACGCGUGGGCAACCUGCCGUAUACAGGGGAAUAAUCACUGGAAACGGUGACUAAUACCGCAUGUCAUCACAAGGAGGCAUCUUUUUGUGAGAAAAGGAGCAAUCCGGUAUACGAUGGGCCCGCGUCUGAUUAGCUAGUUGGUGAGAUAAUAGCCCACCAAGGCGACGAUCAGUAGCCGACCUGAGAGGGUGAUCGGCCACAUUGGGACUGAGACACGGCCCAAACUCCUACGGGAGGCAGCAG
rnacentral:rRNA from 1 species